rnacentral:tRNA from 1 species
GCGAUUGUGGCGGAAUUGGCAGACGCAGCGGAUUUAAGUUCCGCUGGGAGAUUCCCGUGAGAGUUCGAGUCUCUCCAGUCGCACCA